rnacentral:rRNA from 1 species
UGCAGUCGACGGGCUUGAGGGGCUUGCUCCUUGAGUUAGUGGCGAACGGGUGAGUAACAUAUCGGAACAUGUCCGGAAGUGGGGGAUAACGUAGCGAAAGUUACGCUAAUACCGCAUAUGCCCCGAGGGGGAAAGGGGGGGAUCGCAAGACCUCCCGCUUUCGGAGUGGCCGAUAUCGGAUUAGCUGGUUGGUGAGGUAAAGGCUCACCAAGGCGACGAUCCGUAGCUGGUCUGAGAGGACGACCAGCCACACUGGAACUGAGACACGGUCCAGACUCCUACGGGAGGCAGCAGUGGGGAAUUUUGGACAAUGGGCGCAAGCCUGAUCCAGCCAUACCGCGUGAGUGAAGAAGGCCUUCGGGUUGUAAAGCUCUUUCAGCCGGAAAGAAAUCGUGCAGGUUAAUAACCUGUAUGGAUGACGGUACCGGAAGAAGAAGCACCGGCUAACUACGUGCCAGCAGCCGCGGUAAUACGUAGGGUGCGAGCGUUAAUCGGAAUUACUGGGCGUAAAGCGUGCGCAGGCGGUUUCGUAAGACAGAUGUGAAAUCCCCGGGCUUAACCUGGGAACUGCAUUUUGUGACUGCGAGACUAGAGUGUAGC